rnacentral:rRNA from 1 species
AUUGAACGCUGGCGGCAGGCCUAACACAUGCAAGUCGAGCGGAUGACGGGAGCUUGCUCCUUGAUUCAGCGGCGGACGGGUGAGUAAUGCCUAGGAAUCUGCCUGGUAGUGGGGGACAACGUUUCGAAAGGAACGCUAAUACCGCAUACGUCCUACGGGAGAAAGCAGGGGACCUUCGGGCCUUGCGCUAUCAGAUGAGCCUAGGUCGGAUUAGCUUGUUGGUGAGGUAAUGGCUCACCAAGGCGACGAUCCGUAACUGGUCUGAGAGGAUGAUGAGUCACACUGGAACUGAGACACGGUCGAGACUCCGACGGGAGGCAGCAGUGGGGAAUAUUGGACAAUGGGCGAAAGCCUGAUCCAGCCAUGCCGCGUGUGUGAAGAAGGUCUUCGGAUUGUAAAGCACUUUAAGUUGGGAGGAAGGGUUGUAGAUUAAUACUCUGCAAUUUUGACGUUACCGACAGAAUAAGCACCGGCUAACUCUGUGCCAGCCGCCGCCGUAACAC